rnacentral:rRNA from 1 species
AUUGAACGCUGGCGGCAGGCCUAACACAUGCAAGUCGAACGGUAACAGGAAGAAGCUUGCUUCUUUGCUGACGAGUGGCGGACGGGUGAGUCAUGUCUGGGAAACUGCCUGAUGGAGGGGGAUAACUACUGGAAACGGUAGCUAAUACCGCAUAACGUCGCAAGACCAAAGAGGGGGACCUUCGGGCCUCUUGCCAUCGGAUGUGCCCAGAUGGGAUUAGCUAGUAGGUGGGGUAACGGCUCACCUAGGCGACGAUCCCUAGCUGGUCUGAGAGGAUGACCAGCCCCACUGGAACUGAGACACGGUCCAGACUCCUACGGGAGGCAGCAGUGGGGAAUAUUGCACAAUGGGCGCAAGCCUGAUGCAGCCAUGCCGCGUGUAUGAAGAAGGCCUUCGGGUUGUAAAGUACUUUCAGCGGGGAGGAAGGGAGUAAAGUUAAUACCUUUGCUCAUUGACGUUACCCGCAGAAGAAGCACCGGCUAACUCCGUG